rnacentral:rRNA from 1 species
ACGAGUGGCGGACGGGUGAGUAACACGUGGGUAACCUGCCCUUAAGUGGGGGAUAACAUUUGGAAACAGAUGCUAAUACCGCAUAGAUCCAAGAACCGCAUGGUUCUUGGCUGAAAGAUGGCGUAAGCUAUCGCUUUUGGAUGGACCCGCGGCGUAUUAGCUAGUUGGUGAGGUAACGGCUCACCAAGGCGAUGAUACGUAGCCGAACUGAGAGGUUGAUCGGCCACAUUGGGACUGAGACACGGCCCAAACUCCUACGGGAGGCAGCAGUAGGGAAUCUUCCACAAUGGACGCAAGUCUGAUGGAGCAACGCCGCGUGAGUGAAGAAGGCUUUCGGGUCGUAAAACUCUGUUGUUGGAGAAGAAUGGUCGGCAGAGUAACUGUUGUCGGCGUGACGGUAUCCAACCAGAAAGCCACGGCUAACUACGUGCCAGCAGCCGCGGUAAUACGUAGGUGGCAAGCGUUAUCCGGAUUUAUUGGGCGUAAAGCGAGCGCAGGCGGUUUUUUAAGUCUGAUGUGAAAGCCCUCGGCUUAACCGAGGAAGCGCAUCGGAAACUGGGAAACUUGAGUGCAGAAGAGGACAGUGGAACUCCAUGUGUAGCGGUGAAAUGCGUAGAUAUAUGGAAGAACACCAGUGGCGAAGGCGGCUGUCUGGUCUGUAACUGACGCUGAGGCUCGAAAGCAUGGGUAGCGAACAGGAUUAGAUACCCUGGUAGUCCAUGCCGUAAACGAUGAAUGCUAGGUGUUGGAGGGUUUCCGCCCUUCAGUGCCGCAGCUAACGCAUUAAGCAUUCCGCCUGGGGAGUACGACCGCAAGGUUGAAACUCAAAGGAAUUGACGGGGGCCCGCACAAGCGGUGGAGCAUGUGGUUUAAUUCGAAGCAACGCGAAGAACCUUACCAGGUCUUGACAUCUUUUGAUCACCUGAGAGAUCAGGUUUCCCCUUCGGGGGCAAAAUGACAGGUGGUGCAUGGUUGUCGUCAGCUCGUGUCGUGAGAUGUUGGGUUAAGUCCCGCAACGAGCGCAACCCUUAUGACUAGUUGCCAGCAUUUAGUUGGGCACUCUAGUAAGACUGCCGGUGACAAACCGGAGGAAGGUGGGGAUGACGUCAAAUCAUCAUGCCCCUUAUGACCUGGGCUACACACGUGCUACAAUGGAUGGUACAACGAGUUGCGAGACCGCGAGGUCAAGCUAAUCUCUUAAAGCCAUUCUCAGUUCGGACUGUAGGCUGCAACUCGCCUACACGAAGUCGGAAUCGCUAGUAAUCGCGGAUCAGCACGCCGCGGUGAAUACGUUCCCGGGCCUUGUACACACCGCCCGUCACACCAUGAGAGUUUGUAACACCCGAAGCCGGUGGCGUAACCCUUUUAGGGAGCGAGCCGUCUAAGGUGGGACAAAUGAUUAGGGUGAAGUCGUAACAAGGUAGCCGUAGGAGAACCUGCGGCUGGAUCACCUCCU